UACGUAGGGACCGAGCGUUGUCCGGAAUCAUUGGGCGUAAAGAGCGUGUAGGCGGCCACUUAAGUCCUGCGUGAAAUCUUGCGGCUCAACCGCAAGCGGUCGUGGGAAACUGGGUGGCUAGAGUGCGGGAGAGGAGUGUGGAAUUCCCGGUGUAGCGGUGAAAUGCGCAGAUAUCGGGAAGAACACCCGUGGCGAAGGCGGCACUCUGGGACGGUACUGACGCUGAGACGCGAAAGCGUGGGGAGCGAACAGG
rnacentral:rRNA from 1 species